UCAGGCCUAACACAUGCAAGUCGAGGGGUAGAACAUUUCGGUGUUUGAGACCGGCGCACGGGUGCGUAACGCGUAUGCAACCUACCUUUUACAGGGGAAUAGCCCAGAGAAAUUUGGAUUAAUGCCCCAUGGUAUAUUUAGAUGGCAUCAUCUGAUUAUUAAAGUUCCAACGGUAAAAGAUGGGCAUGCGUCCUAUUAGCUAGAUGGUAAGGUAACGGCUUACCAUGGCAACGAUAGGUAGGGGUCCUGAGAGGGAGAUCCCCCACACUGGUACUGAGACACGGACCAGACUCCUACGGGAGGCAGCAGUGAGGAAUAUUGGACAAUGGGCGCAAGCCUGAUCCGGCCAUGCCGCGUGCAGGAAGAAGCAUCUAUGGUGUAAAGCUGCUUUUGUACGGGAAGAAACACUCCUACGGUAGGAGCUGAC
rnacentral:rRNA from 1 species